GCGUCCGUAGCUCAGCUGGAUAGAGCGCCGGACUUCGAAUCCGUAGGUCGCAGGUUCGAGUCCUGCCGGGCGUG
rnacentral:tRNA from 1 species